rnacentral:rRNA from 1 species
CAGUAGCCACGGUAAUACGUAGGUGGCAAGCGUUGUCCGGAAUUAUUGGGCGUAAAGGGCUCGCAGGCGGUUUCUUAAGUCUGAUGUGAAAGCCCCCGGCUCAACCGGGGAGGGUCAUUGGAAACUGGGAAACUUGAGUGCAGAAGAGGGGGGUGGAAUUCCACGUGUAGCGGUGAAAUGCGUAGAGAUGUGGAGGAACACCAGUGGCGAAGGCGACUCUCUGGUCUGUGACUGACGCUGAGGAGCGAAAGCGUGGGGAGCGAACAGGAUUAGAUACCCCAGUAGUCCCUGUCUCUUAUAC